rnacentral:rRNA from 1 species
AAGGAUCAUUACCGAGAGAGGGGCUUCGGGCCCCGGGGUUUCAGCCCCCACCUCUGCACCCAUUGUGUACCUACCUUUGUUGCUUUGACGGACCGCGGGGCCGUUCCCGCGCUGGCUUUCGGGUCGGAGAGCGUCCGUCAGAGGCCCAUCGAAAUCCCUUUAAUCAGUGAUGUCCGAGUUAAAAACAACAGUAAAAACUUUCAACAACGGAUCUCUUGGUUCCAGCAUCGAUGAAGAACGCAGCGAAAUGCGAUAAGUAAUGCGAAUUGCAGAAUUCAGUGAAUCAUCGAAUCUUUGAACGCACAUUGCGCCCCUCGGUAUUCCGGGGGGCAUGCCUGUUCGAGCGUCAUUGCCCCCCUCAAGCGUAGCUUGGUAUUGGGCCUUCGCCCCCGCGGCGUGCCCGAAAAGCAGUGGCGGUCCGGAGGGACUUUAAGCGUAGUAAACACUCUCCUGCUUUGAAAGUUCGCCCCGCGGCCGGCCAGAGAACCCCGCAGACUCAAUCAUUGACCUCGGAUCAGGUAGGGAUACCCGCUGAACUUAA